rnacentral:rRNA from 1 species
AUUGAACGCUGGCGGCAGGCCUAACACAUGCAAGUCGAACGGUAACAGGAAGCAGCUUGCUGCUUUGCUGACGGGUGGCGGACGGGUGAGUAAUGUCUGGGAAACUGCCUGAUGGAGGGGGAUAACUACUGGAAACGGUAGCUAAUACCGCAUAACGUCGCAAGACCAAAGAGGGGGACCUUAGGGCCUCUUGCCAUCGGAUGUGCCCAGAUGGGAUUAGCUAGUAGGUGGGGUAACGGCUCACCUAGGCGACGAUCCCUAGCUGGUCUGAGAGGAUGACCAGCCACACUGGAACUGAGACACGGUCCAGACUCCUACGGGAGGCAGCAGUGGGGAAUAUUGCACAAUGGGCGCAAGCCUGAUGCAGCCAUGCCGCGUGUAUGAAGAAGGCCUUCGGGUUGUAAAGUACUUUCAGCGGGGAGGAAGGGAGUAAAGUUAAUACCUUUGCUCAUUGACGUUACCCGCAGAAGAAGCACCGGCUAACUCCGUG